rnacentral:lncRNA from 1 species
GUUUGGAGCAGUGUUCCGCUCUCCUGGCUGCACUUCCCGCGUGUCUUCCCAAUCUGCCGGCAUCCACGCACCUCCGCGCCUUCCCACACUCUUGGCUGUAUCUCCGCCGUUGUCCCGUGCGGUCUGUUGCAGCCUCCUCGGCCCUGCGCAGAUGAAGACCCUCCCUCGGACGGCUUUGUGGGCCCUGCCUCAGCCGGCGCCCCCUUCUCUCCUGCAGGACCCGGACCCCCACUGCAGGGGCUGAGUGCCCCCUGGGAGUGUCACGUGACUGCUGUCGUAUGGGAGAUGUGGUCAGGAAGAGCCUGGCUAUGAGCCUCAGGUGGAUCUGUGUACACAGGCUCCGUGGAGGUUCCUCUUCAUGUCAGCCAGGCGCUAGACCCUGGGGCCUCAGGUUCUCUUUUUAAAGGGUGACCCCAGAGUUUCACUAGAGAAGAAACUCCCAGGCCUGUGGUUCUGAGGCUCCCUAGCUUUCUGGUUCACAUCAGUGGGUGUAUUAGAUGGCUGGCGGAGUCCCCAGCCAUGUCGUCAGCCCUCAGCAGGGGGCUGACCUGCCUUUCUAUGCUACAGAUGUGUUGGUGGAAGGCUGAAACUCUGCAAUGGUGCUUUCAUUACUCGGUGACCCUGAAGAGGCAACACGGCGCCCCCUAGAGGCAUGACUGGCUCCCAGGUAACAGGUGACAUCUAGUUUGGCUGUGUAAACUGGGAGCUUGGGCCUGUUCCAUUGGGAUCCUCUGAGCUGUUACUUGAAGAUGGUGCUGGAAAGUAAUGCUUGUGGGCUUCUUCUAGAUUCAUCCACUGUGUGCACAGCAGCGGGACAGAAUGGAGAGGGAGGUCCCCACACGAAGCCUCACCAGGGCUCGCUGCCCUCUGCGCCGAGUCAUGGGAGAACCCUUCCCUCAGCACAGAGAUGAGGGGAAGCCCUGGGACUGGCAUCUCUUGAGUCCCGACACUGCCCUGGUUGGGGGGUGGGGGAGCUGUGGACAGGGAAGGCUGGCCCUGAGCCUCAAUGCUGCGCCUGGAUGACUUCAGCAACCAGGAGUUUUUCUCUUGAGUUGGCAGCUGCUUGUCAAUCUGCUCUCCACCCAUCCAUUCAAUAAACUGUACACAG